CCUACGGGAGGCAGCAGUGGGGAAUAUUGGACAAUGGGCGAAAGCCUGAUCCAGCCAUGCCGCGUGUGUGAAGAAGGUCUUCGGAUUGUAAAGCACUUUAAGUUGGGAGGAAGGGUUGUAGAUUAAUACUCUGCAAUUUUGACGUUACCGACAGAAUAAGCACCGGCUAACUCUGUGCCAGCAGCCGCGGGUAAU
rnacentral:rRNA from 1 species